AUUCCAGCUCCAAUAGCGUAUAUUAAAGUUGUUGCGGUUAAAAAGCUCGUAGUUGGAUUUCUGCUGAGGAUGACCGGUCCGCCCUCCGGGUGAGUAUCUGGCUCAGCCUUGGCAUCUUCCUGAAGAACGUAACUGCACUUGACUGUGUGGUGCGGUAUUUAGGACAUUUACUUUGAGGAAAUUAGAGUGUUUCAAGCAAGCUUACGCCUUGAAUACAUUAGCAUGGAAUAAUAAGAUAGGACUUUGGUUCUAUUUUGUUGGUUUCUAGGACCGAAGUAAUGAUUAAUAGGGACGGUUGGGGGCAUUCAUAUUCCAUUGUCAGAGGUGAAAUUCUUGGAUUAACGGAAGAUGAACUUCUGCGAAAGCAUCUGCCAAGGAUGUUUUCAUUA
rnacentral:rRNA from 1 species